UACAGAAGAAGCCAUUUUCACGAGCUUUGUCUCAUACCCAUUCUCUCUCUCUUUCCAAUAUUGAAUCAUUUGGAGUAAUAUGGAAUCACGAAAAAAGAAUAUAAAUUAAAGCUUUGAGCCUUUGACGUCAACGUAAAAACCAAAAACCAAAAGGGAAAUUUUAAAGAAAAAAAAAAACAUUAGCAGCAAAAACCAAAAACGCGUCUAAUAUCCCGAC
rnacentral:lncRNA from 1 species